AAUGAACGCUGGCGGCGUGCUUCAGACAUGCAAGUCGUACGAGAAAGUUCCUUCGGGAGCGAGUACAGUGGCGCACGGGUGAGUAAUACUUAGGUAACGUACCUCUUCGCUGGGGAUAACCAGGCGAAAGCUUGGCUAAUACCGAAUGAUCCGCGAGAAGCUCCGGCUUCUUUUGGUAAAGCCGUAAGGCGCGAGGAGAGCGGCCUGAGUCUCAUUAGUUAGUUGGUAGGGUAAUGGCCUACCAAGACUAGGAUGGGUAGCUGGUCUGAGAGGAUGAUCAGCCACACUGGAACUGAGACACGGUCCAGACUCCUACGGGAGGCAGCAGUGGGGAAUUUUGGACAAUGGGCGAAAGCCUGAUCCAGCCAUCCCGCGUGCAGGAUGAAGGCCCUCGGGUUGUAAACUGCUUUUGUACAGAACAAAAAGGUUUCUACUAAUACUAGGAGCUCAUGACGGUACUGUAAGAAUAAGCACCGGCUAACUACGUGCCAGCCGCCGCAGUAA
rnacentral:rRNA from 1 species